CCUACGGGUGGCUGCAGUGGGGAAUAUUGGACAAUGGGGGGAACCCCGAUCCAGCCAUGCCGCGUGUGUGAAGAAGGCCCUCGGGUUGUAAAGCACUUUCAGUGAGGAAGAACGCCUGGUGGUUAAUACCCAUCAGGAAAGACAUCACUCACAGAAGAAGCACCGGCUAACUCCGUGCCAGCAGCCGCGGUAAUACGGAGGGUGCGAGCGUUAAUCGGAAUUACUGGGCGUAAAGCGCGCGUAGGUGGCUUGAUAAGCCGGUUGUGAAAGCCCCGGGCUCAACCUGGGAACGGCAUCCGGAACUGUCAAGCUAGAGUGCAGGAGAGGAAGGUAGAAUUCCCGGUGUAGCGGUGAAAUGCGUAGAGAUCGGGAGGAAUACCAGUGGCGAAGGCGGCCUUCUGGACUGACACUGACACUGAGGUGCGAAAGCGUGGGUAGCAAACAGGAUUAGAUACCCCUGUAGUC
rnacentral:rRNA from 1 species